rnacentral:rRNA from 1 species
UGGGGAAUAUUGCACAAUGGAGGGAACUCUGAUGCAGCGACGCCGCGUGAACGAAGAAGGCUUUCGAGUUGUAAAGUUCUUUUAUAUGGGAAGAUAAUGACGGUAGCAUAAGAAAAAGCCCCGGCUAACUACGUGCCAGCAGCCGCGGUAAUACGUAGGGGGCUAGCGUUGUCCGGAAUCACUGGGCGUAAAGGGUUCGCAGGCGGAAAUGCAAGUCAGGUGUAAAAGGCAGUAGCUUAACUACUGUAAGCAUUUGAAACUGCAUAUCUUGAGAAGAGUAGAGGUAAGUGGAAUUUUUAGUGUAGCGGUGAAAUGCGUAGAUAUUAAAAAGAAUACCGGUGGCGAAGGCGACUUACUGGGCUCAUUCUGACGCUGAGGAACGAAAGCGUGGGUAGCAAACAGG